AUUGAACGCUGGCGGCAGGCUUAACACAUGCAAGUCGAGCGGAGCGAGGGUGCUUGCACCUUAGCUUAGCGGCGGACGGGUGAGUAAUGCUUAGGAAUCUGCCUAUUAGUGGGGGACAACAUUCCGAAAGGAAUGCUAAUACCGCAUACGCCCUACGGGGGAAAGCAGGGGAUCUUCGGACCGUGCGCUAAUAGAUGAGCCUAAGGUGGAUUAGCUAGUUGGUGGGGUAAAGGCCUACCAAGGCGACGAUCUGUAGCGGGUCUGAGAGGAUGAUCCGCCACACUGGGACUGAGACACGGCCCAGACUCCUACGGGAGGCAGCAGUGGGGAAUAUUGGACAAUGGGCGGAAGCCUGAUCCAGCCAUGCCGCGUGUGUGAAGAAGGCCUUUUGGUUGUAAAGCACUUUAAGCGAGGAGGAGGCUACUUAGAUUAAUACUCUGGGAUAGUGGACGUUACUCGCAGAAUAAGCACCGGCUAACUCUGUGCCAGCAGCCGCCGUAA
rnacentral:rRNA from 1 species